rnacentral:rRNA from 1 species
ACGGAGGGGGCAAGCGUUAUUCGGAUUUACUGGGCGUAAAGCGCACGUAGGCGGCAUUGUAAGUCAAAGGUGAAAGCCCUCGGCUCAACCGAGGAACUGCCUUUGAAACUGCCUUGCUUGAGUCCGGGAGGGGGGAGCGGAAUUCCCAGUGUAGCGGUGAAAUGCGUAGAUACUGGGAGGAACACCGGUGGCGAAGGCGGCUCCCUGGACCGGUACUGACGCUGAGGUGCGAAAGCGUGGGUAGCAAACAGG